CCAAACUGAAGAUGCCGAGGAGCUGUAUUAGCAGCCUCUGUAACAAGGCCAUGUUCAUGAGGAUACUUGUGGUUAUAACUUUGCUUCUACUGACCCUUGGGAUUCUUUCCUUUGCACCACCUUCACAGAUGGCAAGAUCAAAGACCACUCGAAAAUCUCAGUACAUUCUUAUAAGUGGUAAUCUGCUAAAACUCUUUUGCCAUUUCUUCUCAUGUUUUAAUUUGUUUCAUACUCUUAAAGUUUGCAAGUGUCCCAGGGAACUUUUUCAACUUGUUUUUUUAAACACAUUACUUAGCUAGUUAGCUGUCAUUGCUUUCUUGCAUUAAAAAACAGUGUUGUAUUAAUAGCUUAGUCAUAUGGUCAUAACAGUUGUAGAAUAACAUUGACAGGUUGCAAUAAUUACUGUAGUGUGGCAUGCUGCUACUGCAACAUUCACAGGUUCCCUCCAGUCUGUGAAAAGUGCUGCAAAUAAUUGACUGAAGACUGAAGUCCACGAAGAUUGUUGAAGCUGUCUACACAUUUCCAGGAACAGUGCAUGGGCAUUUUCUUCUGUGCAGUCGCACCCUUAUUUUUUAUUAUGAGAAUGUAUUUGUUCCUAGUUAUCUUCACUACAUUGAAGCAGCAACUAUAAACCUGACAAUUCAGAUUUACCAUAGUGUUUCCUUUUGAUCAGUGAAUUAUUUCAAACUCGGUAUAUAUAGGAUACCAGUA
rnacentral:lncRNA from 1 species